rnacentral:rRNA from 1 species
CAGUAGCCACGGGAAUACAGAGGGUGCAAGCGUUAAUCGGAAUUACUGGGCGUAAAGCGCGCGUAGGUGGUUUGUUAAGUUGGAUGUGAAAUCCCAGGGCUCAACCUGGGAACUGCAUCCAAAACUGGCAAGCUAGAGUAUGGUAGAGGGUGGUGGAAUUUCCUGUGUAGCGGUGAAAUGCGUAGAUAUAGGAAGGAACACCAGUGGCGAAGGCGACCACCUGGACUGAUACUGACACUGAGGUGCGAAAGCGUGGGGAGCAAACAGGAUUAGAUACCCCGGUAGUCCCUGUCUCUUAUAC